rnacentral:lncRNA from 1 species
UUUCAAUGAAAAGUUGUAUGCCAAUAAUUCUGUUUGUAGGGAGAGUGGGCUGAAAUAUGUUAAUGUGCACAAUUUUCCUCUUGGGAAAUUUUCAGGCAAUCAUAGUCAAUGUGAGUGACUCUUAUUUGAGGGAUCUGAAAGUCAAGGAAAUUACCUGCUAUGUGCCCCUCUGCUGUGUUCUGAAAAUUGUAGUAAAUAUUAUUUUUCCCAAGUAUAUACAUAUCACAAUUCAAUAGCAAUACUAUUACACACAAAAUUGAUCGUAAGAUAUGUUCUCAUAAGCACGAUGAUAAAUUCACAAAAUGAUUGUAUGCAGAAUUAAUGGUGGAUCCUUAAAUCUUGUUUUAUUUUUCAUCACCUCAUGCAGUGACACUAUGAGUAUCUUAGUUCAGCCACAUGUAGCAGGUUCAUCUAUAGCACAUGGAUCAAAGGCACUCAUCGUAUCCUGGCACUGGAAUUCAUUUCUAAUGUUUUUAUAUUCUGUCUGGCAUAUUUAAUGGUUAUAGUUCUCUUGAAUAUAAUUCCAGUUCAUAGCUGCUGAACAUAAACAACAUUGCUUCUCUGGGUUUACCUACUUUGGAUCCCUAUAUCUUGCAUCAGGACC